rnacentral:rRNA from 1 species
UACGUAGGGGGCAAGCGUUGUCCGGAAUCAUUGGGCGUAAAGCGCGCGUAGGCGGCCCGGUAAGUCCGCUGUGAAAGUCAAAGGCUCAACCUUUGAAUGUCAGUGGAUACUGCCGGGCUAGAGUCCGGAAGAGGCGAGUGGAACUCCUGGUGUAGCGGUGGAAUGCGCAGAUAUCAGGAAGAACACCAACGGCGAAGGCAGCUCGCUGGGACGGUACUGACGCUGAGACGCGAAAGCGUGGGGAGCGAACAGG